ACUUGUUACAAUGCUUUUUAUUUAAUGCAAAUACAAGCGAUCAAUUGGUUCGUGAAUCUCCCAAGUCUGUCCUUAAAAACAGCAAAUCAGAAAAAGGGUGGAAAGCGUAAUUUGAAUUUUCUUGGAAGUGAUUUCUAGUAUUUGCAACUUGACUAUUUGAUUUGAAACUUGAUGUAUUUGAAUUUGUGGACACAGAAGCAUAAAGGCCAUAAAUAGGCUCCCUGGCUUCACAUUCCACAGGUCAGGAACGACCUUCUCCAGCGGACCAGACACAUCUUCCGGAAGCCCUCCUUCUACAGACUGGGCAGGAGGUGGGCACAGCUGUCUCCAAGGCAGCGUGAGACCCACCUGAGCUCCCCUGCUCCCGCUCGUGCCACCUGAGCCACGUGGCCCCCCCAGAUCUGGCAGCGAGUGUUCCUCUGAGGAGAACCCCACCGAGGGUAGAAUUUCCAUUCUCAGUUCCAAUCACAGUGAUAAUGUCAGCACUUGCUUUCUGAGGCAGAUGUUCCACCCAGAACUGGCAGCAUCACAUGCGCGACAAUCACAGCACACCGCAGGGAAGGGAUCUAGAUGUGGCCGCGCUCUUUGGGUGGGUGGCACAGAUGGUCAGGCCACCCUCCCAUGAUAGGUCUCAUUUGCCCCAGUGAGGAACAGAUUUAACGAAGGGCAGCCUUUGCGAAGGAUAGUGGACAAGGCUUCGUAUUUUUAAAUGUAGUGGAAGCUUAAGAAAACCCCAAUGCUCCUGGUCAGUUUGUUUUUUCUGGGCUAAGGGUCUACACAGCUAGGAGAGCACACGCUUCGUGACCGAGAACUGACUUUCCUAAAUGAAGAUUACCAGCAGUCCUGGGACCAGUCAGCUAACUGUAUGCUUACUAUUGCAGGAGCAAUGACGGGGGCCACUAAAAACUGCCCCUGGAAAGAGGUUUAAAUUUUCCAUUCACAAAGCAAAUCAAGCUUCCUAAUUAGCUACAACACAGCCGGAAAGCUCAGCGCCUACUGUCCUGCCAAAGCCCUGCCUCCACUGCCCUGCACGACGCGCACGUCUCUGCUGCAGGAACUGCGUGUCGGUUUUCUCCAGUUCACUCGUGUUCAAAGAACUCGUGGCAGGCAGUGGUAACCAUGGCGACAAAAGCCAUGAAUUCCUGGAAGUCACACUCGCCAUCUCCAUCGCUGUCCAGUGUCUCCAUGACUUUGUCCACGACCUCCUGCUCUUUGAUUUCCUGAGAGAUAAGAGAAGCUGUUGAGCUUGUUUCUAAAUGAAAUUUGGGGCCAUCGAAUGUGAUGAGAAGGUGUCUGGCCUUAAUAAUGUGUCUCAGAAACAACCUAAGAAUGCUAUGGAAAGACCAAAGACCAGAAAAGACUCUUGUGAUCAGGAGGCUGUUGGCUGGGAGACGUGUCUAGGGGUCUGAGCCUUCUCUUCCACUUUCCUGUAGGCCUGGAGGGACCUGGGCUACUUCCAAAAACUGAGUGGACUAGACAGGAUCUGAAAAACGGCAGGUCGUUUGUGUUAAAACGCCCAAAACAGUCUAGAUCAGCCUGAGCACAUUAUAUGCAAAUGUUUUGAAAACAAUAAUGAACUGUUGGCCCCUGUACGUUCUCAUUGUUUGUGGACAGGGCAACUAAGCCUACUCGGGACUGACCGCGUCGUGAAGGCUUCCCGUGGACUUCCGAGUUUUGAAAGUGGUUUUUGGCUGAAAUGACUCGGGAACACGCCCUAACGGUAUUAACCUCGCAAGGGGUUUUGCCACUUGAGUUGCUUUCAGGUGUUUGGGGACAUUUCCCAACCUUCUGCCCCACACGGAACCGGGUGGUGAAACAGCCUCGGAGGGACGGACACGGGGCAGGAAGGCUGUACCCUGCACACUGAGGAGGAGCAUAAAGGCCUGCUGGUUCUGAAUCACCAGCCCAGGCAGCAGAGCCUGUGACGCAGAAUGUACAGCGGCUGCCUUGGGGCAAAACAAUGAGAGACCGAGGUUCCCGUGGGGGUUGGGGUGGGACAUCUGCUCAAAGAGGAACUUUAAAUACUUGAUAGAUUUGCCUUCAAACCAGCAGUGCUCAUGACACCUUGAUACACUCACCAGGAAUUACUCAUCUUUUUUUUUUUUUUUUUUCUUUUCAGGGCCACACCCUCAGCACAUGGAGGUCCCCAGAAAUAGCAAAAAAGACAAAAAAUAAAUAAAUAAAUAAUAAAAAUAAAAGCAAACUCACCUCCAGGAAGUGGGAAAGCUCGCUGUUGAUGAGCUCCUUGAGUUCGGAUUUCUUCAGCUUGUGCUUGUCCCCCUCCCUCCCAGAAUACUGAUGGAAGACGUCAAUCAGGGCCACCACGGCCUUCUCCAGCUCCGACAUCCCGGGUCCUCCUAGGGCAGAGAGGUCCAGGUGUCGCCCGUGCCGCCCUCAGCCCUGGCUCCCUUCCUUUCAGGCUUGGAGUUGUUUGAGUCUCCCGCCCCCUGGGCCCCCUCCCUCUCCCUUCUCCGUCCUCUGUUCUCCUGCCAUUGGGCUGCUGGCUGAAUUCGGCCAAUAGACAUUUCAGGCAAAAUACAGAGGCCGAGCAGUGAAGGGGAGACGCUGUUGGAAUUGGUCUGGAAGAGGUCGUUGAUCUGAACUAUGGAGUCCACAGCGUCCUAAUUCUCACAAUAAAGAUGAGAAAACAGUGGAAAAGUCCUAUUUCCACAGCAACAUACACAUAUUUCCAAGGAUGAGUUUGGCAAGAAAAGUGCAGGACCUUCCAAAAGAUACUAAGAUCACAAAAUGGAGGAACUUACUUUCCUUUGGAUGAAUAUAUAAAUGUGACUCAUUUUUAAAAAAACUUUUUUAAUACAAAUAUUGAUGGCAAUUUUUUUGAUAGGCAAGAAAUCGAUUUAUUAAGACAGGACACUCGGGCGAGAUGCAAGCGGGCCCGCAAGCAGUCUCUGCCGAUGGCAUUUUUUUGAUGGGUGAAGAACACGACCAAAAAACAGCUGUAAAAUUCAACUGGAAAAGUAAAUAUGGUGGCAUUGCCACAGAAUUUUCUGAAAAGGAUCAAGGAAAGUUACUUGACCUUCCAAAAACAAACCUGUAUUGCCGGCUGUCUGAUGAAAACAGGGCUGUGCAGUGAAGCUUGCCUCCCCAAAAUGUCUCUUUGGUACAGGAUUAUUUUGAGCCGAAAACAAACAAGCCCAGAAGACUCAGGAAGAAGCUCUGGCAUCCGCCGUAGCUGCCUGAAUCAGAAUCUAGAUGGAGGGCCAGUUUCGGGACGUGCUCACAAGAGAUGCAGCCAAGCAGGCCGCCGGGUGAGGACUCGCAGGCACCUGGCCCCCUCUGGCCCUCCUCUGCGCGGCAGCGCGAACAGUCGCUUUACCAAAACUUUGCUUCUCCAUCGCGGUCAGAACGGCCUUCCUCCCCCGCCUCGUCCAAAGCCACGCUCCCCGGACGCCCUCCUUUGUCCUUAGCUGUUGAUGGUACUUGGGGCGAGGGUUUGGGCCGUUUUGAGGAGUUGCUGGGUUUUCCUGGGUCUUUCCCAGGUAUGCAUGUUACUAAACUUGGUUUGGGUUUUUCCUGCUAACCUGCCUCAUGUCUCUUUGAUUCUUGGGCCCUGGAGGAGGAAAAUGGCCUCCUCCGACGGCUCUGAGGCCAGCAAGUGGGGCCGGAGGCUGGGCCGCAGCCAGGUGCUUUGUAUUCACGGAGGCGCUGCCUCCAGCGACCAGGAUCGCUGCCGCUCUCUGCGCUCAUCCAGUAGGAAGCUUCUGUCGCCCCUCAUGUCCCUUGCACCAUGGCCUGCGACCUAAGGAAACAGCUGGUACCCUGGGAAUGAGGCAGUGUACAAAGGACUGCUUGUCAACUGUUUCACAAAGCUGAGCCACACAGCCAGAGAAGUUUACCGACGUUUGGCCUUGAGUUC
rnacentral:lncRNA from 1 species